ensembl:miRNA mir-5550 ncRNA
UGACACUCCACCGUUUCUAAACCCCGCCCAAGAUUUCAUUUGCACUGAAAUGUGUCGGCCGCAGUGCAAAUGAAAUCGUGGGCGGGUCUCAGAAACAGCGGAGUGUCGUUG